rnacentral:rRNA from 1 species
GUGGAAGGGCCAUCGCUCAUCAGAUAAAAGGUACUCCGGGGAUAACAGGCUGAUCGCCUCCGAGCGUUCAUAGCGGCGAGGCGGUUUGGCACCUCGAUGUCGGCUCAUCACAUCCUGGGGCUGAAGGUGGUCCCAAGGGUUUGGCUGUUCGCCAAUUAAAGUGGUACGCGAGCUGGGUUCAGACCGGCGUGAGCCAGGUCGGUCCCUAUCUGCCGUGGGCGCAGGAAUCUUGAAGGGAUGUUUCCUUAGUACGAGAGGAUUGGGAAGCACUGACCUCUGGUGUACCAGUUGUCGCGCUAGCGGCACCGCUGGGUAGCUAAGUCGGGACAGGAUAACCGCUGAAAGCAUCUAAGCGGGAAGCCCCCCCUGAGACGAGGAUUCCAUGGACUUCGGUCCUGAAGAGCCCUGGAAGACGACCAGGUUGAUAGGCCGGGUGUGUAAGCGGCGAAAUCCGCUCAGCUAACCGGUACUAACGCUCGACGACUUGACCAUAUCAAUCAUGGGUU